rnacentral:rRNA from 1 species
UCGAUUGAGUUUGAUCAUGGCUCAGGACGAACGCUGGCGGCGUGCUUAACACAUGCAAGUCGAGCGGAAAGGCCCCUUCGGGGGUACUCGAGCGGCGAACGGGUGAGUAACACGUGGGUAAUCAACCCCUGACAUCGGGAUACCCCGGGGAAACCCGGAUCAAUACCGAAUAAGGUGCGGAGUCGCUGGACGCCGUACCAAAGGUAGCUUAGGCCUCCGGUCAGGGACGAGCCCGCGGCCCAUUAGCUUGUUGGUGAGGUAACGGCUCACCAAGGCGACGAUGGGUAGCUGGUCUGAGAGGACGAUCAGCCACACUGGGACUGAGACACGGCCCAGACUCCUACGGGAGGCAGCAGUGGGGAAUAUUGCGCAAUGGGCGGAAGCCUGACGCAGCAACGCCGCGUGCGGGAAGAAGGCUCUCGGGUCGUAAACCGCUUUCAGCAGGGACGAAGCUUCCGGGGUUAAUAGCCUACGGGGUGACGGUACCUGCAGAGGAAGCCCCGGCUAACUACGUGCCAGCAGCCGCGGUAAUACGUAGGGGGCAAGCGUUGUCCGGAUUUAUUGGGCGUAAAGAGCGUGUAGGCGGCUUGGUAGGUCUUGCGUCAAAACCUGAGGCUCAACCUCAGUUCGCGUGGGAAACCACCUAGCUAGAGUCCGGAAGAGGAGAACGGAAUUCCCAGUGUAGCGGUGAAAUGCGCAGAUAUUGGGAAGAACACCAGUGGCGAA